AAACAAAUCAAUUUGCAGAUAUCGUGACUAAAGGAGGAGUUGCAAGAGGAGAUAACACAUGGAAGCAUUCUUCUCAUGAUUGUGAAGAUCUAAUCUAUGCAUCAUUACCUGCUUUCACUGACUUAGAUGCAUUCUCUCCCUAGGCACGAUCGAACGGAUGAGAUGAAUUGCGAUGAACGGUCCAGAUUUGCCCACGCAAUCGGCCUAAACAAGCAAUGAUUGGACGACUCUCCUCGCUCCAUGUCGAUGCGAAUGGACGAUCUAGAUCGACGCGGGAUAAGUAUAAAAAUAUUGCAUCACAGGGGAACCUUAACCUUAGCUGCACACACCCUCGCCAGAUAAGAAGGACCAGCUGUCGGAGAAUGAGACUGACCCCCGGCCGCUACCGCAUUAGAGCCCCCAUCGAUCGCCAAAAAAGGUUACCCGAAGAAAGAACUCCAACUGUGAAGGAAAACUAGCGGAGAUGCUGCACCCGGAGACCCUCCACCGGAAUGCGUGUUAAACUACCAAAA